ACCUCCGGCUAUGCCACCUUGAACAAGUCCGAUCCCGUCUGAUCUUGGAAACUAAGCAAGGUCAGGCCUGGUUAGUACUUGGAUGGGAGACCACCUAGGAAGACUAGGAGCUACAGGCU
ensembl:rRNA 5S_rRNA 5S ribosomal RNA